GAUGAACGCUGGCGGCGUGCCUAAUACAUGCAAGUCGAGCGAACAGACGAGGAGCUUGCUCCUCUGACGUUAGCGGCGGACGGGUGAGUAACACGUGGAUAACCUACCUAUAAGACUGGGAUAACUUCGGGAAACCGGAGCUAAUACCGGAUAAUAUAUUGAACCGCAUGGUUCAAUAGUUAAAGACGGUUUUGCUGUCACUUAUAGAUGGAUCCGCGCCGCAUUAGCUAGUUGGUAAGGUAACGGCUUACCAAGGCGACGAUGCGUAGCCGACCUGAGAGGGUGAUCGGCCACACUGGACCUGAGACAGGGUCCAGACUCCUACGGGAGGCAGCAGUAGGGAAUCUUCCGCAAUGGGCGAAAGCCUGACGGAGCAACGCCGCGUGAGUGAUGAAGGUCUUCGGAUCGUAAAACUCUGUUAUUAGGGAAGAACAAAUGUGUAAGUAACUAUGCACGUCUUGACGGUACCUAAUCAGAAAGCCACGGCUAACUACGU
rnacentral:rRNA from 1 species